rnacentral:tRNA from 1 species
ACCUGGGUGGCUCAGUUGGUUAAGCACCAGACUUCAACUCAGGUCAUGAUCUCACGGUUCGUGGGUUUGAGCCCCGCAUCAGGCU